CCCACACUGCACUUCUGUUGCAUUUACAGCCUUGGUGCACAUCUGCCAGCAAGUAGAAUCCGUUCCCCUCUCUUGUGUCUCACUGGAUUUAUGACUCGCUGUCACGAGCACCUCUUCAGAGAAGCCCACCUCCCUCUCUCGUUUGAUUCCCCGGCCAUCCUUAUCAAAGACCUUCCAGGUGAACAGGCAGCCAUCCUCCGCAACAGUCAGCAGGAACUGGUCGUCAAAGAUUCGGACGGAGCGGUCCAGAGAACAGGUGGCAAUGAGGGGCUUCCGGAUGCAGGUAGCUAGACCAGUGAUGGAUGCUGAGUGCAGUGGGUACAGCAGGUACUCGAAAUGGGCAGGCUCUCCCUGGGGAAACCACACAGAACGAGAUGGGUGAGCAAAAGGCUGACUGUGUCCUUCAGCAUGAAUUAGUGCCUGGGACCCUUAAUUAGCCUGUGCAUACAGAAACCAGGCUGAGGCAAACUGUUUCAGCGUUACACAUGGUUUUCCUGAGGCACUAUUAUUUUUGGAAUAUUGGUGGAACCUAUGGGCGAGCCUAUUACGGCCCAUUUUUGUUUGUUUUUUUCCAAACCAGUAUAAUCUCUAACUGCAUCUUCAGUACUUUUUCUUACACCCACAGG